rnacentral:rRNA from 1 species
UACGUAGGGUGCAAGCGUUUGUCCGGAAUUAUUGGGCGUAAAGAGCUCGUAGGCGGUUUGUCGCGUCUGCUGUGAAAACUCAGGGCUUAACCCUGAGCUUGCAGUGGGUACGGGCAGACUAGAGUGCGGUAGGGGAGACUGGAAUUCCUGGUGUAGCGGUGAAAUGCGCAGAUAUCAGGAGGAACACCGGUGGCGAAGGCGGGUCUCUGGGCCGUAACUGACGCUGGAGGAGCGGAAAGCAUGGGGAGCGAACGGG